UCCAUUUUUAGCAACAAGUGUGAUGAAUUGAGAUUCAUCACCGGUCAUGUAUCUUGAGUACCCGCUAUCAAGAUACCAUCUCUGGUUUGCUCCUUAAGAUGCAAGACACACCUAUACACAAGAAUCAAAUUUUGACUUUAGGUACCCAAGUUUUUUUAGAUCUUUUUUGGUUAGUCAUAAUGGUUCCUUUUGGAACCCAUAUUUUCUUUAUAUUGAAAUUUUCAGAUUUGUUAGAAAAAUAUGAAUAGGAUUUGUGUCCUAUUCUACCACAUUUAAAGUAAGUUAUAUUUGAAAACUUGUUGUAUGAUGAGUUUACAAAGAUAUUUUUCAAAAAUUUUUAUUUCUUUAAAGGGUUAUAUCCA
rnacentral:lncRNA from 1 species